GGUGAACGCUGGCGGCAGGCCUAACACAUGCAAGUCGAACGAAGUCUUCGGACUUAGUGGCGGACGGGUGAGUAACACGUGGGAACGUGCCUUUAGGUUCGGAAUAACUCAGGGGAACUUGUGCUAAUACCGAAUGUGCCCUUCGGGGGAAAGAUUUAUCGCCUUUAGAGCGGCCCGCGUCUGAUUAGCUAGUUGGUGAGGUAAAGGCUCACCAAGGCUACGAUCAGUAGCUGGUCUGAGAGGAUGACCAGCCACAUUGGGACUGAGACACGGCCCAAACUCCUACGGGAGGCAGCAGUGGGGAAUCUUGCGCAAUGGGCGAAAGCCUGACGCAGCCAUGCCGCGUGGAUGAUGAAGGUCUUAGGAUUGUAAAAUCCUUUCACCGGUGAAGAUAAUGACUGUAGCCGGAGAAGAAGCCCCGGCUAACUUCGUGCCAGCCGCCGCAGUAAUAC
rnacentral:rRNA from 1 species